GAAACUGUGCAAUCAUAUGUGUCAACUC
rnacentral:sRNA from 1 species